rnacentral:misc_RNA from 1 species
UAAGACCUUAUAUUUCACUGAAAUUUAAAUCUUCUCUUUUUAACGUCAAAUACUCAACUCCAUAAGCAAAUAUUAAACUAUUCCUCCAUAGCUGACCAGUUCUGGUGAAAACCUGCUAGUAGACCUGAGUGACAUCCCACGAUACAAUGUGGUAGCUUCAGCGAUCAGCAAGUUCUAUAAGCUGCUCAACCACACUUGGAUCUGCCAGUGUGCUCGUGUCCCCAAGCUCAUCUAACUGCCUGGAAGCAAUCUUUCUCAGAAUCCUCCUCAUUAUCUUUCCACUCCGUGUCUUUGGAAGGCCAGGAGCCCAGUGGAUUUUGUCAGGUGCAGCAAAUGCUCCUAUCUGAUUUCGCACUGUAAGGAUUAGACUUUUCCUGAGUUCUUCACUGUAAGGAACACCAUCCACAAGAGUGACAAAGGCAUAAAUACCCUGUCCUUUAACCUCAUGCUCAAAACCAACUACAGCAGCUUCCGCGCAUUGGGGAUGAGAAACAAGAGCAGAUUCCACUUCUGCUGUACCAAUUCGAUGCCCACUAACAUUGAUGACAUCAUCAACUCUUCCAGUAAGCCAGUA